GAAACCCACAAAGGAGGACCAGUUUUGCCUUCACAGAAGCCCUCGUGUUGCAUUAAAUGCUACCUUCUGGCCUUGUGUACAGCCAGAGAGACCAAGUACUGUACUGAUGAAUGGACUCAGGGUCCCGCCGAGCCUGGGGAGAAGCCUUUAUUGUUGAAUAAUGCUAACAGGUGGUCCACUUCCUCUCCUAUUGAGAACUACUAUCCAGUACAUGAGGACAUCAAACAACGCUCCAGGGCCUGGUCCACCGAGAGGAACAUCACAGAGGAAGAUUGGCCCUGAGCUAACAUCUGUGACAAUCUUCCUCUGUUUUGUACGGGAGACGCUGCUACAGCACGGCUUGAUGGGUGGUGUGUAGGUCUGCACACAGGAUCUGAACCUGCCAACGCCUGGCUGCCAAACUGGACUCUGUGAACUUAACCACUAUGCCACUGGGCUGGCCCCUAUUUUUUCUUUUCUUUAUGAUGUCUAUAAAAUGUUUUCUAAUGUGCUUUCCUAAUACUUUUAUUGGUUCUUUUUUUUUUUUUU
rnacentral:lncRNA from 1 species